CAGCCUCGUACCCAGGCGCAAAUAACGUACUAAAAAACAGCAACACUACAGUUUUUUUAUAUAGAUCAGUGGCUGAGCGAGCGCGCGGUGGUGCUUGGGGAGGACUUGGGAAGCGAGGCGCCUGGCAGAAUUUGUAACAAACAUGGCGGACAUGAGAAUGCAAAGAAGGAAAUUGCUGUACUAUAUAAAUGAAAUUGAAAGGCUUGCCUAACGAGCGGUACAUUUGGG